rfam:Drosophila ananassae strain TSC#14024-0371.13 Ctg01_15950, whole genome shotgun sequence.
AAGUUACCGAUAGGAUUAGAAAAGCGGUGGCAUUACCAUAUCAAGGGGAUAUGGUAUUAGUUCCAUUUCUCCAUUUUUAAGUGUUUUUUUUAAUGCCAGGAGGUGUUUAGUCCGUAGGCGUACUUAAGUACGAAUCGGGCAUAUGUUGAGCGACGGCGCUUUGCAUAUCUUACGAAGAUUCACCCACCAUGGUU